rfam:Stachybotrys chlorohalonata IBT 40285 unplaced genomic scaffold scaffold1790, whole genome shotgun sequence.
GCCCGGUUAGCUCAAUCGGUAGAGCGUGAGACUCUUACGAGUUAACGCAAUCUCAAGGUUGCGGGUUCGACCCCCGCAUCGGGCU